rnacentral:misc_RNA from 1 species
CGGUAACAGGAAGAAGCUUGCUUCUUUGCUGACGUGUGCCAGACGGGUGAGUAAUGUCUGGGAAACUGCCUGAUGGAGGGGGAUAACUACUGGAAACGGUAGCUAAUACCGCAUAACGUCGCAAGACCAAAGAGGGGGACCUUCGGGCCUCUUGCCAUCGGAUGUGCCCAGAUGGGAUUAGCUAGUAGGUGGGGUAACGGCUCACCUAGGCGACGAUCCCUAGCUGGUCUGAGAGGAUGGCCAGCCACACUGGAACUGAGACACGGUCCAGACUCCUACGGGAGGCAGCAGUGGG